rnacentral:SRP_RNA from 1 species
UCUUGAGACUUGUGCGAUGAGCUAUUUGAGUAAUGCUUCAGGGUGGGAACACAGCAGAGCCCUCAAAUCGUUUAAGUGCCGCAAGUAUCUUAAGAGAG